GAUGAAGAACGUAGCGAAAUGCGAUAAGUAAUGCGAAUUGCAGAAUUCAGUGAGUCAUCGAAUCUCUGAACGCACAUUGCGCCCUGUGGUAUUCCGCAGGGCAUGCCUGUUCGAGCGUCAUUUCAACCCUCAAGCUCUGCUUGGUGUUGGGCCCUGCCCGCUGCGGCCGGCCCUAAAGACAGUGGCGGUGCCGCCUGGCCCUGAGCGUAGUACAUCUCUCGCUCCAGUGCCCGGUGGUAGCCUGCCAGAACCCCAACUCUCGUGGUUGACCUCGGAUCAGGUAGGGAUACCCGCUGAACUUAAGCAUAUCAAUAAGCGGAGGA
rnacentral:misc_RNA from 1 species